rnacentral:rRNA from 1 species
AGCAUAUCAAUAAGCGGAGGAAAAGAAACCAACAGGGAUUGCCCUAGUAACGGCGAGUGAAGCGGCAACAGCUCAAAUUUGAAAUCUGGCUCUCGGGCCCGAGUUGUAAUUUGUAGAGGAUGCUUUUGAUGCGGUGCCUUCCGAGUUCCCUGGAACGGGACGCCAUAGAGGGUGAGAGCCCCGUCUGGUUGGAUGCCAAAUCUCUGUAAAGCUCCUUCGACGAGUCGAGUAGUUUGGGAAUGCUGCUCUAAAUGGGAGGUAUAUGUCUUCUAAAGCUAAAUACCGGCCAGAGACCGAUAGCGCACAAGUAGAGUGAUCGAAAGAUGAAAAGCACUUUGAAAAGAGAGUUAAAAAGUACGUGAAAUUGUUGAAAGGGAAGCGUUUAUGACCAGACUUGGGCUUGGUUAAUCAUCUGGGGUUCUCCCCAGUGCACUUUUCCAGUCCAGGCCAGAUCAGUUUUCGCCGGGGGAUAAAGGCUUCGGGAAUGUGGCUCUCUCCGGGGAGUGUUAUAGCCCGUUGCGUAAUACCCUGGCGGGGACUGAGGUUCGCGCAUCUGCAAGGAUGCUGGCGUAAUGGUCAUCAACGACCCGUCU